rnacentral:rRNA from 1 species
UGGGGGAUAUUGCGCAAUGGGGGCAACCCUGACGCAGCAACGCCGCGUGAAGGAUGAAGGUUUUCGGAUUGUAAACUUCUUUUAUUAAGGACGAAAAUUGACGGUACUUAAUGAAUAAGCUCCGGCUAACUACGUGCCAGCAGCCGCGGUAAUACGUAGGGAGCAAGCGUUGUCCGGAUUUACUGGGUGUAAAGGGUGCGUAGGCGGCUUUGCAAGUCAGAUGUGAAAUCUAUGGGCUCAACCCAUAAACUGCAUUUGAAACUGUAGAGCUUGAGUGAAGUAGAGGCAGGCGGAAUUCCCCGUGUAGCGGUGAAAUGCGUAGAGAUGGGGAGGAACACCAGUGGCGAAGGCGGCCUGCUGGGCUUUAACUGACGCUGAGGCACGAAAGCGUGGGUAGCAAACAGGAUUAGAUACCCUGGUAGUCCACGCUGUAAACGAUGAUUACUAGGUGUGGGGGGUCUGACCCCUUCCGUGCCGGAGUUAACACAAUAAGUAAUCCACCUGGGGAGUACGGCCGCAAGGUUGAAACUCAAAGGAAUUGACGGGGGCCCGCACAAGCAGUGGAGUAUGUGGUUUAAUUCGAAGCAACGCGAAGAACCUUACCAGGUCUUGACAUCCAACUAACGAAGUAGAGAUACAUUAGGUGCCCUUCGGGGAAGGUUGAGACAGGUGGUGCAUGGUUGUCGUCAGCUCGUGUCGUGAGAUGUUGGGUUAAGUCCCGCAACGAGCGCAACCCUUGCUAUUAGUUGCUACGCAAGAGCACUCUAAUAGGACUGCCGUUGACAAAACGGAGGAAGGUGGGGACGACGUCAAAUCAUCAUGCCCCUUAUGACCUGGGCUACACACGUACUACAAUGGAUGUUAACAGAGGGAAGCAAGACAGUGAUGUGGAGCAAACCCCUAAAAACAUUCUCAGUUCAGAUUGCAGGCUGCAACCCGCCUGCAUGAAGAUGGAAUUGCUAGUAAUCGCGGAUCAGAAUGCCGCGGUGAAUACGUUCCC